rnacentral:rRNA from 1 species
GACGAACGCUGGCGGCGUGCCUAAUACAUGCAAGUCGAGCGCAGGAAACUGACGGAACUCUUCGGAGGGAAGGCAGUGGAAUGAGCGGCGGACGGGUGAGUAACACGUAAGGAACCUGCCUCAAGGAUUGGGAUAACUCCGAGAAAUCGGAGCUAAUACCGGAUAGUUCAUCGGACCGCAUGGUCCGUUGAUGAAAGGCGCUCCGGCGUCACCUUGAGAGGGCCUUGCGGUGCAUUAGCUAGUUGGUGGGGUAACGGCCCACCAAGGCGACGAUGCAUAGCCGACCUGAGAGGGUGAUCGGCCACACUGGGACUGAGACACGGCCCAGACUCCUACGGGAGGCAGCAGUAGGGAAUCUUCCACAAUGGACGAAAGUCUGAUGGAGCAACGCCGCGUGAGUGAUGAAGGUUUUCGGAUCGUAAAACUCUGUUGUAAGGGAAGAACACGUACGAGAGGAAAUGCUCGUACCUUGACGGUACCUUACGAGAAAGCCACGGCUAACUACGUGCCAGCCGCCGCAGUAAGAC